AUUGAACGCUGGCGGCAUGCUUUACACAUGCAAGUCGGACGGCAGCACAGAGAAGCUUGCUUCUUGGGUGGCGAGUGGCGAACGGGUGAGUAAUAUAUCGGAACGUACCGAGUAAUGGGGGAUAACUAAUCGAAAGAUUAGCUAAUACCGCAUAUUCUCUGAGGAGGAAAGCAGGGGACCUUCGGGCCUUGCGUUAUUCGAGCGGCCGAUAUCUGAUUAGCUAGUUGGUGGGGUAAAGGCCUACCAAGGCGACGAUCAGUAGCGGGUCUGAGAGGAUGGUCGCCCACCCUGGAACUGGGCCACGGCCCAGACUCCUACGGGAGGCAGCAGUGGGGAAUUUUGGACAAUGGGCGCAAGCCUGAUCCAGCCAUGCCGCGUGUCUGAAGAAGGCCUUCGGGUUGUAAAGGACUUUUGUCAGGGAAGAAAAGGCUGUUGCUAAUACCGACAGCUGAUGACGGUACCUGAAGAAUAAGCACCGGCUAACUACGUG
rnacentral:rRNA from 1 species